AGCGAACGCUGGCGGCAUGCCUAACACAUGCAAGUCGCACGGGGGGGCUUCGGCCUCCCAGUGGCGGACGGGUGAGGAACGCGUAGGGACCUGUCGAGGGGUGGGGGAUAACCGCGGGAAACUGCGGCUAAUACCGCAUGACGCCGCGGCGUGACAGCCGGGGCCAAAGGCGAAAGCCGCCCGCCGAGGGGCCUGCGUCCGAUUAGCUGGUUGGCGGGGUAGCGGCCCACUAAGGCGUCGAUCGGUAGCUGGUCUGAGAGGGUGAUCAGCCACACCGGGACUGAGACACGGCCCGGACUCCUACGGGAAGCAGCAGUGGGGAAUAUUGGACAAUGGGCGCAAGCCUGAUCCAGCAAUGCCGCGUGGGUGAAGAAGGUCUUCGGAUUGUAAAGCCCUUUCGGCGGGGACGAUGGUGACGGUACCCGCAGAAGAAGCCCCGGCUAACUUCGUG
rnacentral:rRNA from 1 species